CCGGGUCGCGGGCGGGAAUCCCGGAACCGUGGCCGCAUAGCCACUUCUCCUGCACCGGGGGACCUUGGGGCGGGCUCCACCGCGCCUCCCUGAGGGACUGGAAGGAGGAGGGCUGGCGGGAGAAACGACCCGUUGACUGACAGCAGGUAUCGCCCAGGAGCCUGCAACCUGAGCCGCCGGCUGUCCCGCGCAGGUGCCGAGCGGCACCGUCCCGGGAACUUGGAAGAGAGAAGUGACGCAAGCGCGCCAGGUUUGCCGGCCUCUCCGCGCAGGCGCAGCAGAACUGGCGAAAAGCGCGCGGCGGCGGUCCGGUGGCCGCAGGAGCCUGGCGUUAAGGAUUCUUUUCCCUCCUAACAGGUUCCUGCGUUAGCAGCCGUGAGGUGGUCUCCAAGUUGGAGCCAGGAAUAAAGCUGUGGUGGUGGAAGAAGCCCUCAGCCUCAGCCUCUCAGGUCCGUCAGCGCCUUCUAAGUCGGAGGCUGGGACUAGGAGGAGUCAGCGGGUGUGCUGCGCGCUUCUCCCGGUUCCUCCUGCGCUCCCGGUCUUGAGGAGAGUUGGUUCAGGCAUCUGCAGUCUCCAUGAUGCCCACAACAGCCAGAGCCAGACCAGGGUGAGGCCUAGAUCCUGAAACUCCAUUCCUGUCUCUCUCAUGCACGGAAGAGACUCAGAAUAAGCCUAAUGACUGAAAGGAUAUACUGGAUUUGGAGACUCGACCAAGACAGCACUGUGAUCGUCUCGGAGUGUGAGGCAGCUACAUGUAGCCUGUGAGCAGUGCAUGAUGAGAAAGAUGUGGAGGCACCCUGUGGUGUUACUUCUGUGUGUCUUCUUCAGACUCUACCACUGAAAUGAGAGGGCAACGCCAAGACACCAGUUUUUACAAAGAGGAGUUCACCUGGGUGGCCAGCAUAGGAGGCAGAGUGGACAGUGAGAGAGAGAGAGACAGAGAGAAAGGUCUUCCUUUGCCAUUGGUUCACCCUCCAAUGGCCACUGCGGCUGGCGUGUUGCAGCCGGCGCACCACACUGAUCUGAAGCCAAGAGCCAGGUGCUUCUCCUGGUCUCCCAUGGGGUGCAGGGCCCAAGGACUUGGGCCAUCCUCCACUGCACUCCCGGGCCACAGCAGAGAGCUGGCCUGGAAGAGGAGCAACCGGGACUAGAACCCUGUGUGCCAGUGCCGCAGGCGGAGGAUUAGCCUAUUGAGCCACAGCGCCAGCCUCUUUCUUUUUUUUUUUUACAUAUGGGUCUUUGUAUAACCUUUUUUGUCUGAAGAGAUGUUCCUCAGGAUUUAACUUAAUUAGCAGUUUUGUGACAUCUGUUGAUCCUUGGGAAAUGUCACUGUACAGGUGUUUCCCAAAAUUAACCCUACGUAGGUAACUUUGAGUAACUUAUCCUAUGUGAAGCAAGUAGAAAAACAAGUUGUUUUUACCUUUUGAAGCUCUCAGAAUUUUCCUCUCUCUCUUUGCUUCCCU